UACGUAGGGUGCAAGCGUUAAUCGGAAUUACUGGGCGUAAAGCGCACGCAGGCGGUCUGCUAAGUUUGGAGUGACAGUUGGUGGCUUAACUGCCAAAGUGCUUCGAAAACUGACAGACUUGAGGGCUUCAGAGGGACACGGAAUUCCGGGUGGAGUGGUGAAAUGCGUAGAGAUCCGGAGGAACACCAAAGGCGAAGGCAGUGUCCUGGGGAGUACCUGACGCUCAGGUGCGAAAGCCAGGGGAGCGAACGGGGAUUAGAACCUUACCGAGU
rnacentral:rRNA from 1 species